ACACCUCAACUCUCAUGGUUUGCCAUGAAGAGCUUGGACUCUGGGGGUUUGCUGGCCAUUUCAGUCGGCUCCUCUCAAAUGAAUUAGCUUGCCAGUGUUUGGUGGCGUUACGGGUGUGAUAACUAUCUACGCUCGCUGUCGUCUGCCAGGUAACCUUCGUCACCGAAGGUUUGCUGGGGCUUACAAACGUCUCUCCUUAGCGAAGACAGCUUUUGAAC
rnacentral:misc_RNA from 1 species